rnacentral:lncRNA from 1 species
AAAAAAAAACCUAAAGAUACACAUUAAAUAGAAAAACCAGGGAGAAGAUCAAAAAAAGGGGAGAGCCCUUUAGGAACCCAGCAACGACGCUCUUGAACAAAAAAAACCAGAACGAGCAUCCCUUCCAUCUUCCAUCUUCUCUUUUCCGACCUCCCUCCUUCGAUUUCCAUGGGAGAAUACACUCACUACCACACUCACACGAAGACGAAGACUCACCCACUCGCGAUUUGAAUACAAACGGUUGAAACAAAGUUGAAAAUUCCAAGUGAAGAUCUGAAAAAUCACAAAGUUUGAUAAACAAAAGAAGAGCUGAAAUUUCUGAAAGAAUGUUAAAGAAAAAAUUAGUUUCGAAAUUCAACCUCUGCCAUUUCUGGGUGUUCGAGUUUGGUGUCAAAUUCGGAAGUUGAAGCUGCGUCUUGCUGUUCAUCGCUGCACAGCUCCAACCAGUUGUUUUCUUCGCCUUUGUUUGGCUUAUAUUUAAAUCCUCGCGCCAUUAGGUAUGUCUUCUUUAAACUUGUAUUUUUCAUAUUUGGCCUAAUAUGAAAUCAUGCUUGAACAUUGGUUUGUUUGGGUGCCUCUGAAGAAUUCAACAAAUUUUUAUGUGUUUUCUUAUGCUCUAGUUAUUUCGUGUAGUGUUCUGGCGUGUUCACGCUCUACUCAUUUGCUCUGACACCAUUAAUUUAUUUAGGUUGUCUUGUUUGAAAAGUUAAUUUAUUGACUGAUUAAGUGAAAACAGAGCUUUGCCUUCAAUGGCUCAAACGGGUAACAGUGACAUACAUCAAUUGAAAUAGAUUUAUGUACUGACACAAAUUUGGGAAUUGGAUAUUGGCGUAGUAAUUAAGUUUCGUUGACUUAGCAUUCUAGACUAGUGUUUGAGCUAUUACUGGAAAUUUAUAAAUUGUACAAUGAUUUCAUUUGGAACCAAGCUUGGAAUAAUAAUGGUUCACAGUGAUUUUGGAUUUUGAAUCGAGCUCGCUGCAUUUCAACACGAAGGUCUGAUUUGUUUUCAUCUUGUAAAAGUAUGAUGUGGUUGUCGACUCACUCUUUGUUAGUUUAAAAUAACUGGAAGCAUAUAUAAUUAAUUCCUUUGACGUUUUCCAAACAUAUACUGCUGCCUUUGCUCAAAAUUAUUUGGAUAAGUUGAUUGGUUCUAAUUCAACAAUUGUUCCCUAUGUGCCUAUGUAUGUCUGCUUUCACUGUACAUGAAUGUUUCAUUUACUUUGAACUUGUCUUAGUUAAAAUUGGUUUGUGGAUUUAUUUUUGCUAAACGCAAAUCACCUCCUUUUCAUAUAUAAGGGAAUCCAUUCUUUCCUUGAAAGUAAUUUCGCGUCAGCUGCUUUAGGCACGAUUAAUAAACCAUCGUGAUUAUGGGUACGGUUCCCGUGACAUAGUUACGAUGCCUAAUUCCAAAAUUCGGGUGUGCAUUUCAUGUAACCCGAUCACAAUAAUUUCGAAUAAUAAAACCCUUUGAAAUAAUUUGAGUGCGCCAUUUUCAUUAAAUAACCCAUGUCCCUCAUUUAGUUAAUUUUAACUCUUUAGAAAUCGAGGUGUGCCAUUAGUUGAAUUUGCAUGGACCUCGCAAACUUGAAAGCGCGUAGUUGCUUUAGGCGCGCUAUUUAAAUUAAUUUCCUUAAACUCGGGUGUGCAUUUCAUGUGACCCAACUCCAAUUCUCAACAACGUUAAAUAAAAUGUGUCGUGGAUCGCGGGUGCAUUUUAUGUGGCGUGGUUCAAGGCGUGUUUUAAAUAACGUUGAAUCUUCCUAAAAAUAAUUAAAAGUGGUUUAAUAAGUUAAAAUACACCAUAGUCUAAAACAUGUAAUAAUCAGAUAAUAGGCCAGUUAUAAUAGUUUAAGCGACCGUGCUAGAACCACGGAACCCGGGAAUGUCUAACACCUUCUCCCGGGUUAACAGAAUUCCUUACUUAGAAUUUCUGGUUCGCAGACUUCAAAAGGAAAGUUAAAUUUCCUCGGUUUGGGAUUUUAAAAUAAACUGGUGACUUGGGAAACCGAUUAAAAUAUUCCAAGUGGCGACUCUGAAUGAAUAAUUAAUCCCAUUUCGAAUAAUGUCACUUAAAUUAGAAAAACUUCCUUGUACUACCUUCGGGUAGUGUAAAAAGGAGGUGUGACAGUUGGGAGUUAGGAUCCAUUGAGGAUCAGGUUUAGACAUGGGCAGUAAUUUGGAUACUACCAGGCCACGAACCUUAACUCAAACACAUAGAAGGGAAUAGGGGUAAGGAUUCACAACACAAACAGAUGCAAGGAAAGAACACACAUAGUUAACAUUAAUCACUGAACAUGAACAACAAAGUAAAUAGGGUUGCAGAAAACUGUAAAUAAACACAUAGGGAUGAGGCAGGGAAGUUAAAUUAGAACAUACCAGUUUCAAGGAAAACAAACCAGUAAACAGUAACCUUGAAAAGCCAUGUUGCAAGCAAACAAUUCCAAAAAGAUCUCAGAAAGAGCAGAACAUUGUAAGAGUAUUGAACUCAAAACAAUAUGGUGUGUAAGUAAGUUGAAAGUAUUGAACUAAAAAUUCGAGGUCUUGAACUCGAAGUCGUCUGAAAGUGUAGAAGGGUAGUCCCUUUUAUAGUGCAGAAGAGUAAGAAAGGUAAAGGAAUAGCUUGAAAUUAAUCACACAGAAUCUCCCUUCAGUUAAGGGAUUCUAAUUUCAAACGAGUAGUGUACAAUUAAGGAAAGAAAUUUGAUUGAAAACUUUUUAAAGUAGCAUAAGAAGGGUAAAUACAUAGAGUUUAUUUAAGGCAAAAGUCUAUUGGUACUCGGUUUGUAAAGAAAAAGGAAAGGGAAUCAAUCAGACAGCCAGUAAAACAAAGUGACAGGCUCCGUUCGAAUGAACCAAGCCGAGAAAAGGUAAAGAAGGUUCAAUUAGAGAAAGUUAAUAACAAUCAAUCAGACCUUAUUAAAAGGGAUCCUGAGUCAAUCACAAAUUGGCAAAAGCCUUUUUGAAGGAAGAACCUCAUAUAUAAAGCAUAUAGACAUGUCAAACAAAAAGAGUUGUCAUGCUAAUUAGAAAAGACUAGCAUAGAGAAGCUCAAAGUCAUAACAAAGGGAUACAAGUUCAUUUUGCAGACUCAGAAUGAGUCUGAGAGUCCAGGGGUCCAAAGUAGAACCCUAGUCCAAAAUAAAACUUGCCAAAACUCAAAGCCUAGGGUUUCAACUUGAAUCAGAAGCAGAGACGAGAAGACAUAUAACAGGCUCAGAGGUCUCUUUUAGAGACUCACUAAGAUAGAAUAGCAAGUUUGAAAUAACACAGUGAGGAAGCUGAUUUGAAGCAUAAAGAACAUGCUUAAGAAAAACUCGAAACUUAAGCAAGUUCAUAAGAGAAAACGAGUGAUAUAAACUUAAGAAACAGUAGAUGAAACAUGUUUAGAAUGAACUCGAACAAAGUCCAGUAAAACAGACAAAACUUAAGAACCCAGCAGGGAACACAUACAGUAAAAGAAUACUGAAAUGUAUAGCAAAGAACAUACAGGAAAACAUAACAAAUAUUAACAUGCGAGCCUAAUCUAGAAGCAUAGUAGAGUACAAAGGUACAAAAGAGUCAUGUAUAGUAGAAAGAAAAUAGAAGAACAACACAUGCGUGGUAGAAAAGAAAAUACACGAGCAUAAUAUAGGCAAAUACACAUAAAGAAAAGAAAAGGAAGAAUCAGAAAGAUGUUUUGAAAAUAUUUCAGAAACCCUAAAUCGAAGAGAAACAAUUUUUGAAAGAAAGAUUGGGGAAGAUACUUUAAACAUCCAGUAGAACACAAAUAUAUCAUAGAUCUAAGAAACAAACAGAGAAAACCUCGAAUAGCUCAGGAUUUCGAAGAAACCCUAGAAAUGAGAAAGGCUUGGAAGAAAGUCCGAUCUGGAGUCGGCUGAGUUAGAAACAUGCUUUUAUUGCUUUGGAUACGCCUGAGUAUGGACGGAGAGGCCAUAAAACCAUAGAUCUGAGAAGAUCUGAAAGAGAACUGUCGAGGGUAGACUUUGUAACUUCGAACAACCAUGGUCUAAUGGCGGAGGGGGGUGAGUACAGACCAUCCAGGGCCUGAAAAGCCAUGGAUUCCGGUGGAGUAACGGUUGAAAAGGGUGGGAGUCGACUAGGGUUCUGAAGAACUUUGAGAGAGUUUGAGAGACGAUAGGGAUUCAAAGGCGGCAGACCAAAUGAAAUGAGUUAGGGUUAGGGGUGUAGGCGGAUUAAAAAAGGAAAGGGGAAAUCGUGGCCGUUGAUCAGAAUGAUCAACGACCUGGAUUAAAAGGAGGGCCAGGUGGGUUGGAUAAACGGGUCAGGGGUCGGGUUAAAUUGGGAUUGGGCUGGUCUAAUAGGGGGUUAGGAUUAGGUCAAUUCGAGGGCUAAAAUUGAAAUGUAAAUAGGCUGUAAUUGAAAUAAAAUGAGGUUAAAUGUUAAAUAGCCAGUUUUUCACUUUUAUUUUAUAAAAAUAGUAAAAGCUGAUUUUAAAAGUAAAUUAAAAGUACUGAGCCAGUUAAUAAAAUAUAAAUAUUAAUUGAAAAAUAUUGGAGACAAUUUUAUAAUUAUAAAAUGCUAUUAAAUCUUAAAAUAGGCUAGAAUUGCAAUUAUAUGCAAUUUAGCUUUAGAAUACCAAAUGAAUUUGUAAAAAUGUAUAAAAAUUACGUUAGCUAUAUUUUGGUAUAAAUAUGAGAAUAAAAUAAAUUAUUCACCAAAAUGAUAAUCUUGGGAAUAAUUAUUGGAUUUUGUACUGCUAAAAUAGACAAUAAAUUGAUUUUAAAAAUCUUUAAAAAUUCGGAAAAAAUACCAAAACACUUGGGAAUGCUUAUAUAUGCAUAUACAUGUUAAUUUGAAAGUAUUUUGCAUAUAAAAAAUACAUAGGAAAAAAUUGGGUAUCAACAACUGCCCUUCUUUACCCGGGAAGGAUGAAACAGUUGUCGGGUAAAGAUAUGAUGGCCAAUUUGACCGAACGAAACGAUUUAAAGAAUUUGACCAUGCUAUGGUUCCUGAGCUGCCUAUAUAUCCCUCGUAUUACAAGAAUCAGUCCAUAUAUAGUUUGGGAUCCAUCGGUGGAACAUGCCGAUGGAGAUUUUGCAAGAACGGGCGCGAUAUUUCGGCUGGAAAGGACAGUUAAGGUCUAAUAGGGCUGCGGGAACUGGAGUGAGAUUGCUCUUGCUGAGACGGCCGUUGUUUUGCUAGUUUACCUGCAAAUGAGCAAUGCAAACAUAUAUUGUGCAUAAAUUUAAACGUGAUGCAGGUUCCCGUCGGACCAUGAAUGUUGUCUUUGGACUGUUAAGAUGACAUCCUCAGACCAUGACGUCUUGGGCCAUGAAGCGUUUAAUAAAGGAUUCGCAGGAUAUGAACUGAUGUUCUCGGGCUAAGAGAAUGAUGCCUCCGAACCAUGAUGCCUUUGAAUAAUAACAUACAGGAGAUAAGAGUGGGGUCCUCAGGCCAUGGCAUGGCGUUCUUGGGCUAUGAAAAUGGUGCCUCCGAAUAAUGACACCUUUGGACAAAUUGGCAAUCUUUCAGCCCAUGAGAUGCAAAAGGUGGCGAUCUUUCAGCCGAUGCAAAUGUAAAUAAAGGUGGCGAUCUUUCAGCCGAUGCAAACGUAAAUAAAGGUGGCGAUCUUUCAACCAUGCAAAUGUAAAUAAGGCGGCGAUCUUUCAGCCAUGUAAAUGUAAAUAAGGUGGCGAUCUUUCAGCCAUGCAAAUGUAAAUAAGGUGGUAAUCUUUCAGCCAUGCAGAUGGAAAUGAGGUGGCGAUCUUUCAGCCAUGCAGAUGGAAAUAAGGUGGUGAAGCAGCGAUAUUUCAGCCAUGCAAGAUGAAGUGGCAAUAUUUUAGCCAUGCAGAAUGGAGACAAAGCUUUGUCUCGGAAGGCUGAAAGGUAGCCUUAUGCAAUGCAGAGAAAUGUAGAUGGAGGUAGAGCUUAACCUCGGAAGGCAGAAAAGUAGCCUUAUGCAAUGCAAAGAAAUGCAGAUGGAGACAGAGCUUAGUCUCGGAAGGCAGAAAAGUAGCCUUAUGCAAUGCAGAGAAAUGCAGAUGGAGACAGAGCUUAGUCUCUGAAGGCAGAAAAGUAGCCUUAUGCAAUACAGAGAAUGUAGAUGGAGGUAGAGCUUAACCUCGGAAGGCAAAAUGGUAGUCUUAUGCAAUGCCGAGAAUGCAUAUGGAGGUAGAGCUUAACCUCGGAAGGCAGAAUGGUAGCCUUAUGCAAUGCAGAGAAUGCAGAUGGAGGUAGAGCUUAACCUCAGAAGGUAGAAUGGUAGCCUUAUGCAAUGCAGAGAAUGCAAAUGGAGGUAGAGCUUAACCUCGGAAGGCAGAAUGGUAGCCUUAUGCAGGAAGUAAAAAUGGCAAAUGGCAAUAGAGUUCUCUUAGCUGAUAGCAGAUUGUGGUAUCGUGAUUGCUGGGGAUAUUGUGCCUGCUGGGAUAUUAUUGUGCAGAUAGCAGAUGUGAGUAAGUGCAACAGUUCUGAGAGUUGUAUACCUGAGAAGUGUGAAUGUAUAAAUAUGUCCGAUGAUUUUGUGUCUCGGGUGCCUGCAUCAAUGAAAAAUCGUGAGUUUUGUAAAAAGAGGGGGGGGGAUGUUAGUUCGUAUCCCCGCUGACUUUGCUUGACUUAUUUGUCUCUUUUUUGGUGAUACUGUGCGUAUCCUUGGGGUAGCAUUGCUACAUAAAACAAUUUUGAUAAUAGACAUGCAUGAUUUAGUAAAAAUACGCCAUAAAUAUAUAAUUAAGAAUAAUUUUCUUUAGAUGAACCGACGACUCCGACACGGUCCAAUACAUUGCGACCUCUCUUGCCCCGAAAUUUUGAAGCUCCUCCUCAAAAUUCUGCCGCAGUUUACUGGGCUGGUACUUCUGACAGUUGCUUGCGGUAAACGUCUAAAAUCAUCUUCUAAAUUUUGAGGGUCCUCCUAAAAAUUCUGCCCCAGUUUCCAAUAGCGGGGGGAAAUGAAAAUUUUGUUGAAUUGUGACCGAACCCAUAGGGCUGCCUACGUAUCCCCUCUUAAACGGGAAUCAGGUCAGGCAUAGUUCAAAUUACAUCAUAUGAGGAAAGCAUAAAAGUUACACAGAUAUCGCUUUACUGCAUCUGAAUUGAUCGGCUUCGGCCAAACUUCUCCGUCCAUUUCUGCAAGUAUGAGGGAUCUUCCUGUUAGAACCCGGUGAACCAUGUAUGGGCCCUGCCAGUUGGGAGAGAACUUCAAUUUGACCUCAUCCUGAUGCGGGAAAAUCUUCUUUAAUACCAGCUGCCCCGGUGUAAACUGUCUCGGCUUGCCUCUUUUGUUGAAGGCUCUGGACAUUCUACUCUGAUAAAGCUGACCGUGGCAAACCGCAUUCAUCCUUUUUCCAUCUAUAAGAGCUAACUGCUCGUAGCGACUUUUUACCCAUUCGGCAUUGUCGAGUUCUGCUUCAUGUAUGAUCCUCAAGGAGGGGAUUUCUACCUCAACGGGAAUGACUGCCUCUGUACCAUAAACCAGCAUAUAGGGGGUUGUCCCAGUUGAUGUGCGGACUGUGGUGCGGUAGCACGAUAAAGCGAAUGAUAGUUUCUCGUGCCAUUGCUUAUGCUUUUCUAUCAUUUUCCUGAGUAUCUUCUUGAUAUUCUUAUUGGCGGCUUCUACAGCUCCGUUCAUUUGAGAUCUGUAGGAUGUAGAAUUCUUGUGCUUGAUCUUGAAGGUUUCACACAUGGCUUUCAUCAAAUCAUUGUUGAGAUUGGAACCAUUAUCAGUAAUGAUUGACUCUGGAAUCCCGAACCGACACACGAUGUUGUCUCGGACAAAAUCUGCCAUGACCUUCUUACUCACAGCCUUGUACGAUGCUGCUUCAACCUAUUUAGUGAAAUAAUCAAUUGCCACUAGGAUGGACCUAUGCCCGUUUAAUGCGGUAGGUUUGAUUGGUCCAAUAACAUCCAUUCCCCAAGCGGCGAACGACCAUGGCAAACUUGUUGCAUUAAGCUCAUUUGGAUGUACCUGUCACACCUACUUUUUACCUACACCCCCGUAAAGGGGUGUAUAAGGGAGUUUUUUCUAAAUUAAAGUGACAAUCGAAACGGGAUUAUUUAUUUAAUAAUUCAGAGUCGCCACUUAGGAUAAUUUUAUGGUGUCCCAAGUCACCGGUUCAAAUCCCGAAUCGAGGAAAAGAUUGACUCUGUAUUAUAGUCCGCGAACCAAGAAUCCGAGUAAGGAAUUCUGUUAACCCGAGAGAAGGUGUUAGGCACUCCCGAGUUCCGUGGUUCUAGCAUGGUCGCUCAACUGUUAUAUUCGGCUUAAUUAUCUGAUUUUAAACAAUUUUGAACCUAUGUGAAAAUUUUAGUAUUAACCGUUUUUAUUCAUUUUUUAAAGAAAAUUGCAACGUUAUUAAAGCACGUCUCGAACCACGUCACUUAAAUGCACCAGUGGUUUUUGACAUAUUUUAACACCGUUGAGAUUUGGAUUUGGGUCACAUAAAUACGCACCCGAGUUUAGGAAGGUAAGUUAUUAAAAUAACGCGUCUAAAUCAACUGCGCGUUUAAAACUUUGUGAGGGCCAUGAAAAAUUCGCUAAGUGGCACGCCUCGAUUUCUAAUUUCAAUAGAUGUUUGAAUUACUCUUUUCAGGGCCAUGGAUUAUAUGCUUGGCUAAAAUGGCACACCUCAAACCCGUUUUAGGAGCCUAGCCGGUGAAAGGCACUUAAAGGAGUUCUAAUUACCUUUUAAAACUAAGAAUUCGAAUCUACUUUGUAGCUGACGGGUGCUGCGUUAAAUAACCAAAUUCUUUGAAGAAACCUGCUUCAGCAAUGCUAACUAAACAAUAAAGAAGAAUGGAUUUGACUACACAGAACAGACUUAGAUAUCGUUAAGUGAAUAACCCCAGUUACAAGUGCCUUUAAGGCUUGGGCCUGAAAUGAGCCCAUUUCUUUUAGAGGCUGAGAUCAGCAAGUGUAGGACUCGAGAUCGAGUCCCCACGGCACAUAAGCAACGACUGAAAUUUCUAGAGGUAUCUAUGUGAACCCAGCUGACUACCGAUAAAGUAAAUCAACAUCAAGUCUUCAAACUUGGGCCUUAAUGAGCCCAAGUCAUAGUGAAGAAUGAAAAUCCAAAACUCAGACCCACAAACGAGUAAGUACUGCCCACGAUUCCAUUGUUCAUUUUUUCUCAAAUCUGUGGCUUAACAUGGAUCAAUGCUAAUUUCAGACCAACAUUUGAAAUAAUAACAUUCCAAUCAACAUCAAACCCAAAAUUUAAAACUAACAUUUCCAGAAGAGACAAUCAUUAGAACCUGCUUUCCCUUAUGUGAUCAAACAUAAUAGUAAACCUUAUCAACACAUGAAAAUCAACACUAUGCUACCAUAUAACCUACAAUUAGUCCUUAAUAAUUUCCAUGUUUCAAGACAUGAUAGGAAUUCCACUAUUACAACUAAAAUUUAGCCUAUAUUUCUAACAAAAUACUAGAAGUCAUACCAAAUAUGCAUCUACAGCAGCAAUAAAACCCUUGUGAUUUCACUAAUCAAAGAAGCCAUUCAAGUUGAAUAAGCUACUACUAAACCUAACUAAUAGGAUCUAUACGUUGUAUACAUUAAAUGCAUAGGAACUUAAACAACAUUAGUAUUUAGAAUGACAAGCAAAGAUUUACAUAGAGAAGAAGAUUUGAAUAUCGAGCUUAACACAUAAACAGCACACACGACUGAAUAUCAAACUUCCGACUUCCAUUUUUCAUUUCACUUUCAACUUGAAGAUCACAUUAUGCAGGUUUCAGAGCAUGUACCUGGAACUUGCACAAAGAAGAAUAUAGGUGAACAAUCAGCAAAUAAACAGCAGCAGAUUACAGUCCCAGAUUCAACUAGUUGAGCAGUGAAAUCAACUCAUAAAGCCAACGAAACAAUAGAAAAUCCCAGGGAGGAAGACAACUAGAAUCCAGUGAAAAUGAACUAUACUGCAAUGAUUUCAACCCAAGACCCAAACAACAAAACAACUUUCAAACCAUUUCUCGCCUAUAAUCAAACCCAGAUUCAACAAUUAGAACCAUAAAAUCAACUCGAAAAUCCAAUGGAAUAGUGAACCUCAGCAAACUUGAACCACAACAACUUCUCAAAACCCAAUGUCAAUCCAUUUCAAAUCAAAAAACCCAUAACUAUUGUUUUCUGAAAUUAAAAAAAAUCACUAAUGAAGUUCAAUAGAACAGUCUCUUUCACUAAAUUUUUUAGCUGUUUCUCCUUUAUGUAUUUUUUAUCUCUUAGAUCUCUUGGGUCUGCCUUUCAAUGCAAGAAAAGGUGCCUUUAUAGGCAAGCCAAUAGGGCAACCUUUCAGAUUUUUGUUUUAUCCUUUAACCCCAUUUCAAAUUUGCUUUUAGCUUAGAGAUCCCUAAAAUUUUGACUUGUUGACCAGGCUAUCCUACUAACAAUCUGAACUUCAAAUUAAAACCCCUACUAGAACCUUCCUAUUUCUGUUAUCAGAGAGAUUCCCUCAACCAAAUACCUAAACUAACCCCCAUGCCCCUGUUAUUUCCCUUUUGAACCCAAUGGGUAUGGGUCAAUUCUAACCCAAGGCGAACCAGAUAUGAGCCUUCGAAAACUCGGGUUAGUCCCUUUCUUUUGGGCCCAUGUCCAAAUCAAAAGUUCAGAAGAGACUAGAGAGCAGAAAGAUGAAAGGCAAUUAGGAUUUCAUUCAGUCUUUUGAACCAAAUGCUCUCAAUCGGCCCAAGACUAAAGGGAACAAUCAAACCAACUAACCUAACGAAUUCAAACAAAACUGAAGAAGCUAAUAACUAGCCAUUAAUCCUGACUUAAAAAGAAACACCUGCAGUGAUGAUUUUAAAAACAUAGAAGAAGAAGAAGAAGAAAAGUAGAAGAAGAUAAGAAAAAAAGGGAUAGAGAAAAUACUAGGUAAACCUGCCAAGCCGGACGGACACAAGUCUUGAACUAAUAUUCAAACGAACCCCUUGAUUUUUGGCCGAGAUAGACUUUAACCGUGUGUUCUCGACUGAAAACACACGAUUAAAGUCAAUUUCAAACUCAAAAAUCUCAAAACUUUGCUACUCUGAUUUUUGGGACUUAGGGUUCGUAUUUUCAAAUCCAGAUUCGAUGGGCCUGGUGAAGAUUCGAGGGAAACCAAUUGUGGAACAGGUAUGAGGGGGUCAAGGGGGUCACGGGGUGUUAUUUUGGGACCAAUUAGAUGAGUUAGGUUUUCAGUCAUUCUCUUUGAUUCAAGAUUCGAGAGGUUGGGCUGGGAUUCUAGAGUGGCGAUCUAGAGAUUUCGAAAGAGGAGAAGGAGAAGAAUCGAUGGUGUAAAAAUGGGGUCAAUUGGAGCAACGCUGCCGGCGGAGGCGAUUUCCAGCGGGCGGCUCACGGCGGAGGCGGUGAAGGGUUCUUUGAGUGUGUGGGGACGAUGAGAGGGGGUAGGGGGUGCGUUUGGACACUAAUAUACUUAUGAAGCUUCAAUUCUUAGCCGUUUGAUCAAGGGGAGAUCAACGACUCAGAUUCCACGUUUCAAAACGACGUUGUUUGAUUUAUUGACUGGCUAUACCGGGUAUUGGGGCGGGUCUGGGCCAAAAAUGGGACGGGUUUUAGGGGGGGAAUGUUUAGGCCUGGGGGAAAAUUCAAUUGAUAAGCCCAAUAUUCGAAUUCUCUUGUUUCACAACCUUUUUUUCUCUUUCUUUUUCAAUUUCGAGUUUUCUUUUCUUUUUUUCAAAAUUAAAAAUUAAAAAUUAAAAAUGAAAUCUAAAUUAAAUCCCAAACCAAAUUAUCCUAUCAAACUAAAUUAACUAACUCUAAAUAAUAAUUACCACAACUAAUUAAAAACCAAAUUCAAGGAAAAAUUACCAAAAAUCGAGAUUUAAAAAAAACACAAAAUAAACUAUUUUUUGUGAUUUUUCCCAUUUUUAUAGAACAACUAAUUUGUUAAUUAAUCCUAAAAGGUAGAAUUAAAUCCUAAAUGCAAAUUCAAUAUAUUUUUUGUAUUUUUCAGUAAUUAAAAUACACGAACAAAAUGCAAACAAUUAACAGAAAGAAAUUAUUUUAUUUUGAAUUUAUGAGAGUAAUUCAUAUGGGCAAAAAUCACGUGCUCACAACUGCCCCUCUUUGAAAGAUUUGACCGCACCCUGCUUCCGAGGUUGCCUACAUAUCCUUGGCUAAAAGGGAAUCAGGUCAGUGUAGUUCAGGAAUGUCUGGUAGCUGGGACUACCAUGAAGCUGUGAUUUCACUGUUGUUGUUGCUGCUGCUGGUGCUUACUGACCUCCUUAUUACACCAUGUCAAAAUAAAAAUAAGCUAGACUAGGCUAUGAUCUAUGCAUUACACAAAAAUCCUAUCUAUAUCUUCAAACUUGCUUCUUGUGGUUCUUGUUGCCUUGUUGACUUGUAUUCUCCCGGUGAAAUCCAUUUGUUGCCGCCUUAAAUUGUAAUAUGAGAUGUUUUCCCUUUCUCCAGGUGGAUGCCUGACUGCUGAACUUGAAUGUAUUCCUUGCUCUCCAGGCGGGCUCCUGAUUGCUGAACUUGAAAUGUAUUCCCUGCUCUCCAGGAGGGAUCCUGAUUGCUGACUUGAAAUGUAUUCCCUGCUCUCCAGGCGGGCUCCUGACUUCAACAAAAUGACAAAAACAAAGGAAAUUUUUCUGCCCCAGUUUGGGUAUCUGGGAACAUAUGUAAGUGUAAAACGAAUCACAUUACCAACUAUCAAUAAGAACGUGAAAGCUAAAAUUUAAAUUGNNN